rnacentral:rRNA from 1 species
UUGUGCCUACGGGGGGCAGCAGUGGGGAAUAUUGCACAAUGGGGGAAACCCUGAUGCAGCGACGCCGCGUGAGUGAAGAAGUAUUUCGGUAUGUAAAGCUCUAUCAGCAGGCAAGAAAAUGACGGUACCUGACUAAGAAGCCCCGGCUAACUACGAGCCAGCAGCCGCGGUAAUACGUAGGGGGCAAGCGUUAUCCGGAUUUACUGGGUGUAAAGGGAGCGUAGACGGAAUGGCAAGUCAGAUGUGAAAGCCCGGGGCUCAACCCCGGGACUGCAUUUGAAACUGUCAGGCUGGAGUGCAGGAGG